GUAGUUGAAAAGAGACAGAGACGCGAGCUUCAAGACGUGGCGUGAGGAGCGAGAACCUGACGAAUAAGGGAAAUUAUAACGUGUUUUUAGUCUACGGAAUACGAGAUCAAAACGUGUUUGACCUGAACAGAUACCAUCAUGUAAUUACUAUUUGUUAUUGCUUUAAGAAAACGGCAGGCCAAAUAAAAAAUAAAAUGAAAUCAAAGAAAAAUUAGCAAUGAAAAUGGAAAAGGCAAUGCAGAGAUAACCUGGAACCUGGAAACGAAACAAGAAAAUGCAUCAGAGGUGACCUGGGUACUAGAGUGUCACUUGGCUGACACGUUGCGCCAAAACAUAUACUCAAACUCGUAGCAAAAAUGUGGCGUUUACAUCCAAAGAUAUUUCAUUUUGUCUCUCUGUUUAUCUCUGUUAGAUGUUUUAAUCCUUUCGAUGAUGGUCAGUAUGAUAUCGAUUGGGGAGGACCCGUAACAUUACGCGAAGGCCAGGUAACGCCGAGUGGAGAAGAUUACUUGAGCAGUAGAGAGGCGUUAGUAAUGAUCACAAAAGAUAAUGAAAAAUACAAGUGUAUAUUACCCCAAGAUGAACUACCUAAACAG